CUUCCUUAACCUUAACUUGCAUUUUGUUUAGAGAGGCUAAAUAUCGAGUCAUAUUUGAAGUCAGCUUUGAAGCUUUGACCAUGGCAUAGCUCACGUAUUUAAAAUGUCAAACCUCAGUUUGAUCAGUUCCUCAUUCUUUACUCAGUGUCUUCUGAUUUCUGGUGGGUAAUCAUUUCUGAGUUUUGGGAGACUUGUGAUUUUAAAAGCUAACAUGGGGGAAUAGUGGCGGCAUGUGAGAAAGUAUAUUAAAUUGCUGAUGUAGAAGUUCAUAAAUAGAGAAUUAUUUUCAUAUUGAUGUUUUCUCUAAAAUUUAAAGGGCAUUGGUUUCCCCCCCAUAUUAAAAAGGAUACUUUUUUCAAUUUUUACACAAAAGUGGUUACUAUUUUCUGACUCUCUUAAUUUAGAAUUUUAUUGUAACAAGUUUGAAGUUUCAAAUCUUGUCUGUGUUGUAAAGUUUCUCUGACCAAGAUCAAUUUUUUACUGCCCAUCUCUCCUCUAGAGAUCACAGUGAAGACAUUUUUAACAGAAUUCAAAGAAGGCUUUGGGGAGUACUUCUUAUAUUGUUUAAUGUUUGAAAUCACAUUUUGAUUUAAACAAAUAAUGAUACAACAUUUCUGUUUUGAAAUGCAAGCAGUAAUUAAGUUCAGAGAGGUGUAAAUCUUGCUUAAGUGCAAUGUUUGUGCUUCUGCAAGGUGUUGUAAACAGUUACAGAGCACGAAGGAAAGAUCUGUGUCCUGUUGUUCUUGGAGCAGUGGUGUCUAAAGGGCAAGCUGACAUGCUGGAAAGCAUUUCCCAUGAUAAGGUUAGAGACUGUGAAUGAUGUGAGGAAUUAUUUUUAAACUGAAAAGUUACAGGCUAGGCUUCAUUAACAGAUCAUGUGAGGGAAGGUUAAACAAAAGCUGCUUGCAGAAGAGGAGAGAGGUAAUUGAAACAAUCCACUACUGGUUUAAGGUUUGUUUUCCUGAAAAUCAGUUUAGAUACAAUUAUGCAGCCUGAACUAACUACAGGCCUGGAGCAGAAAACAACAGACUGGAAAUAUCAUGAUACAGUGAGGUCUUGGCUGAGUUGUUGGAGUUCUCCUCCUCAAGCAGAGGAAUUAAGGAGGAUGCUGGUUACUUGUUCUCACAUUCUACAGCAAAGUUGUUUGCCACGACAGAAAAGCCCAGCUAUCUAUCUACAUAGAAAGGGUAACUGAAAGGACAGCAUGAAACAGAAAAUGAUGUGGAGGAUGAUCUCCUCUAUAUGACCUUCUACAAUAUGGAGCCUGAGCAGAGCAAGAUAAAUUCACACUCACUAAUAUGAUGGGUGCAGCACCCAAACUGCUGGACAGAGAAAGGCAUUAUGUUUUCCCUUUGAAUGAUGAAACAAUUCCUAGGCUCUUUUUCUGCUGCAGAAGUAGUGUGUGCUUAACUACAUUCUCAUCCAGCCAAAUAUUUAGAGACAUUUAAGCAUAUUUUGCAGGGGCCCUGCUAGUGUGGUGACUUCAAAGGCAUGUGUCUGCACAUGACUUACUUGGCUAGCAGCUAUAGCAAUUAAACAAGUUUUGCCAGUA